rnacentral:rRNA from 1 species
AGUGAACGCUGGCGGUAGGCCUAACACAUGCAAGUCGAACGGCAGCACAGUAAGAGCUUGCUCUUACGGGUGGCGAGUGGCGGACGGGUGAGGAAUACAUCGGAAUCUACUUUUUCGUGGGGGAUAACGUAGGGAAACUUACGCUAAUACCGCAUACGACCUACGGGUGAAAGCAGGGGAUCUUCGGGCCUUGCGCGAUUGAAUGAGCCGAUGUGGGAUUAGCUGGUUGGCGGGGUAAAGGCCCACCAAGGCGAGGAUCCGUAGCUGGUCUGAGAGGAUGAGCAGCGACACCUGAACUGAGAAACGGUCGAGAAUCCUACGGGAGGCAGCAGUGAGGAAUCCAGCAAAACCGGCGAAAGGCUGAUGGAGCAACGCCGGGUGAAGGAUGAAGGCCGUAGGGUAGUAAACUUGUUUUAUGAGUGAAGAAUAUGACGGUAACUAAUGAAUAAGCACCGGCUAACUACGUG